rnacentral:rRNA from 1 species
GAUGAACGCUGGCGGCGUGCCUAAUACAUGCAAGUCGAGUGAACGGACGAGAAGCUUGCUUCUCUGAUGUUAGCGGCGGACGGGUGAGUAACACGUGGAUAACCUACCUAUAAGACUGGGAUAACUUCGGGAAACCGUAGCUAAUACCGGAUAAUAUUUUGAACCGCAUGGUUCAAAAGUGAAAGACGGUCUUGCUGUCACUUAUAGAUGGAUCCGCGCUGCAUUAGCUAGUUGGUAAGGUAACGGCUUACCAAGGCAACGAUGCAUAGCCGACCUGAGAGGGUGAUCGGCCACACUGGAACUGAGACACGGUCCAGACUCCUACGGGAGGCAGCAGUAGGGAAUCUUCCGCAAUGGGCGAAAGCCUGACGGAGCAACGCCGCGUGAGUGAUGAAGGUCUUCGGAUCGUAAAACUCUGUUAUUAGGGAAGAACAUAUGCGUAAGUAACUGUGCACAUCUUGACGGUACCUAAUCAGAAAGCCACGGCUAACUACGUG